rnacentral:lncRNA from 1 species
GGCGGCUGGCGUCGCCCCGGGGGUGGAAAUCCCCGCGCAGGCUCCCCGGUUCCGCUUCCUGGGGGGCGGGGGGCUGCGGGGAGGCGAGUUUCGCUGUUUCAAGCGCGCCGGUCCAGGCCGCUGCGGCGUGUGCGGAGGUCUCGGGGGCACCGUCUUAACCCCGCUUUGUGUACACAAAAUUAAACGAGAGUAAUGAAAUCUGUCGCACCGAUCCUGUGAGCGUUCCCUUUGGAUCCGAUGUGACCGUCAUGCUGGAUAGUAUUUAACCUUCAUCUCUCAGGAAUGAUCAAAUCACGAUUUACAUCAGUUGGUGCAUGUCUAAGUAGACACAUUUGUUCUGGAUGUUUGGAUUUACAUCAUCUAUUAUAGGCAGUUAAACUGGUUGCUCUGCAGAGUAUCCACAGCAAACAACGUGAGACCCCUGAAAGGUCAAUGAGGAGAGAUAAAAAUGCGACUCUCCUGUGUAAAUACAGACCACAGAGACCUAUGAAUGGCUGGCCCCAUGGAAGACAUGUCCAGAAUGAGAAGACCCGGGACCACGGUAUUCAGACACUUCCUCGUGCUCCAGACCAGUUGGUUCAAGGGCCCGGAGCCACGCAGCUAUGGGCUAACGUAGGAAGCUUGCUAGCUCAGGUCCAGCCCCAUGUGAGCGUGGUUCUCCUGAAUCAGGAUUCCCACAGUCAGUGCCCAAGAAAUGGAUUGUSUCUCUGAUGCUGAUAUACUGUCAUACAGACUCAUUUGAUUAGAGAAAGAAGCAUCUAUUUAACACCACAUAAGGGAAAUAGAAGACCAAGAAUAGUCUUAGCUGCAGUAUUUUCCAUGGCCUUGAAAACUUUCAGCCAGAGCCUCAGCUGCUAUAAAUUGGUGUAAAUUCCAAUAUCUUAAAGCUGCACUGGUUUAUGUGACCUGAGGAGAUGACCUCUGGGAUUUGUGGGACUACUGUAUAAAUACCAGAGCCUUCAGCCUGCCAAGGUCAAAAUAAAUAAUGCUUUUGGUCCA